CGGACGUGAUGUCAAACCCCCCCUGACCCACCGUGGAGGAAAAAACAAACUGAUUUAAUGAGGCUGAUCC
rnacentral:snoRNA from 1 species